CCUCGGGAGGCAGCAGUGAGGAAUAUUGGUCAAUGGGCGGGAGCCUGAACCAGCCAAGUCGCGUGAGGGAAGAAGGUACUUAGUAUUGUAAACUUCUUUUGUCGGGGAACAAAGGCGGAGACGCGUCUCCGGAUGAGUGUACCCGAAGAAAAAGCAUCGGCUAACUCCGUGCCAGCAGCCGCGGUAAUACGGAGGGUGCGAGCGUUAAUCGGAAUUACUGGGCGUAAAGGGUGCGCAGGCGGUUGAGUAAGACAGAUGUGAAAUCCCCGAGCUUAACUCGGGAAUGGCAUAUG
rnacentral:rRNA from 1 species